rnacentral:rRNA from 1 species
UACGAAGGGGCUAGCGUUGUUCGGAAUUACUGGGCGUAAAGCGCGCGCAGGCGGUUCUUCAAGUCAGAGGUGAAAGCCCAGAGCUCAACUCUGGAAUGGCCUUUGAGACUAGAGAACUUGGGUACGGGAGAGGUGAGUGGAAUUCCGAGUGUAGAGGUGAAAUUCGUAGAUAUUCGGAAGAACACCAGUGGCGAAGGCGGCUCGACUGGCC